ensembl:lncRNA
CAAAUUAAUGUUGUAGCUGUCUCACUCAUAAAUUAAACACAGCUUUAAUAGGUAAUGUAUGAAUUUUCUCUAUAUGAGAACUAUUUAUUUAUUUAUUUAUUUAUUUAUUGUAACUGGCUGCCCAGGCAGCUUCUGUGCGCAGCCCAGCUCUAACACGGCGGGAUCUGAUGUGCUCAACAGCUAAUCCCGCUGUCCCUGCAGGCAGCAGAGGCUCGCAGCAUGGUGGACUGGGGUCUGCUCAAGGCUGUGCUCCCACCCUGAAUCGUGCCUCAGGUGGCUGCAGUGUCCUUGCACCCUUGCAGAAAAGGAGUCCUUUGCAAAUGAGUUGUCAGAGCCUGUGGCUGAAUGAUGGGGAGAACCAUGCUGCAGAACAGAGACUGGUGUAGCAAAUCUGAAGGCCUGAAGCUCACUUCACUUACCUUGGAGUUUGACUUGGUAAGACAGUGGGAAAUUACGUAGAAUUAGGGUCACUCCAGAAGACACUGAAGUGGAUCUGAUUAACAAAUGGACGGAUUUCUUGAGGUCACUGUGGCUCAACCUCCAAAAGCCAACGGCAAAGUUUCCAGAGCAUAUUGCUUCUCUGACUCCCCCCAUCCCACAGACAGUUUUGCAAAUUAUUUUGUUCCUCUAUCGCAAAUCUUCUGCCUCGUGUCUGACAUGUGGAAAUCAAACUCUAAAACCACAGAGUAGUUAUAAAGCAGGUAUGUUUAAUCAGUGCUGCACACACACUGGAUGCAGAGGGUGUAUUCCCUCCUAGCCCGCAUACUGGAGGACAAGAAAGGCACAUACUUAAAGAGCAAGCUGCUUACGUAUUCAUUAGAUGUCCAAGAAAAGGCUGGGUUAUUACAAUGAGUCCCCCAGAUGACUGGACAUUCCCCCCCUCACCCCAAGUCUCAGCUCUUUCACACAUGCAUAUCUCUUGGUGGUCUUUCAGAUGAAGGUCAUCAUCUUAUUUUCUUGGACUUGGGUUAGGAUGGAAGACACUUGGCUGGCUCUAACUGGUUGUCUCAUCGGCCACAACUCCAUUCACCAAUCUGCUCCUUCUUUGUUAAUUUGUGGUUUGCCAUUUUAGCCUACUGUCUCGCAUUCCAGAGAUAAGAUAGCUAACAAUAUUAUUUGGAAAAAGGAGAGACGCUGUCUGCACUAACUGUCUAAGUCUAUAGAAAAAUAUCUGUCACCAGCAGCGAGAACCUGGCUUAGCAAGGUCAAACCUCCUGCAGCUGCCAAUUCAACACCCCAUGAAGGCACAUAACUUUUAACUUAACUUACUUUCCUUAAUUCAUGUCCCAGCUGCACAGGACAGCACAUGCUUGGGGCUCUGCAGUUCUUGGCCUCUGGGGGUGCCUUGGGCAGGAGGUUGCUCCUGACUCCUCUGCUUCCAGACCACAGAGGGCACUGGGAAUCUGACUGUCAUGCUUAACUGAGUGAGCUGCAUCCUCUUCCAGGUGCAGACAAUGCCAACAGGUUUUUGCAACUCUGAUUGGCAAGCAGCUUCUUAUUACAGAUGAUUUGCAUACAUCCCAAACACGUAGGUAACACGUAGGUGAUUGCUCUCAAAUUGAUGGCUUGAAGCACAAUAACAGCCUUUUUAUUUACUUCCUGCUUGAUAGGCAGUGAAUGUAGAGUUGCCAGAAAAAAAAAAAAAAAAAAAAAAGAGAAGAAAAACAUGCUGCAGGAUUUGCUGCCUGCUACAGCCCUAUGAGGCUGCAGAGCGGAGCAAGGCCUUGGUGAUCCUCACACUCAACAGCACCCUGCACGUAUCUCUCACAUCAACGCCGAGCCAACGCCAGGCCCUGUCUGAGCUCCAUCCACCUGGGGCUGGCUGAAAAGCAGGGGGUAAAUGGUGAUGGUGGGAGGAUUCAUUGUUUUACUUUUUCACUCAGAUGUUCCUUUCAAAAUGCUAACUCUGUGGCAAGUCUUCUUAUGUUCCCACAAGUACCAGCGGCCACAUCUUCAAGACAGCUGCAAGGCGACAUUGGUAAAACUCAGAGUCCAACAGGUGUACCCAGUGUCCAGAGGCUGUGCCCACACCUGUGCGUGAGAAUUCACAAAAACAAUAGGAAAUACAGCCAGAAAUAUAGUCAGAAACAGCUGAGAGCAGUGUCAGAGUUAGUUUUGCAGUGAAUAACACCUGCCCUAAAGGAAAUAUGAUCCUAAAUGUUAUUACCCAGAUUUGCCAGACAUUCUCGGCCUAGGAAGAAGCACGGUGCUGUCAGGCAGUGUCUUUCCUUCUGCAGCCCAGCUCCUGAGGCCUGACCACCAAGUUUACCCUUUGCCUUUGGCUUUCUUCAUGGGCUCACAGGUGUGCAGGGUCCCUGAAGAGAGGAAGACAUUCUCAUUUCCAGAAGGACAAUCUACAUUCUUCACUAAAAAAUACCAACAGGGAUUUUCCCACAAAGUCCUGCAGCCACAAACUUCUGUUUAACAUUAUCUUCACAUGUUAUGGUGCUGACUACAUUUACAUCAGCUAUAACAAAGACCUUCCAACUUCAUGGACACAGUAUGGAGGAAAACACUAAUAAAUCCCUAUGCACUUGUGCUCUUUUUAAUCAAAAGGAUAAAAAGAUAUCUGAACUUGCUUUGAAAUGCAGCUGGUAGUGACAUUCCUCUGCAUAAUGUGGAACCAACACAGCAUCACUUCCCUUCUGGACCACGUAGGAGGGGAUUUAAGCUGUACUUUGUGCUCUGCACUGUAGGAAGCUCCAGCUGGACUUCUUGGGUAUAAGUAAGUCUUCAUAAACUCUACAUUGUUCUUCCUGGCAAGAAAACAUCCUUUGGUCUUGAACAGUUUCUUGUCAUGAGCAAGACUCAUGAGACAGCAGUGAAAUCACCUGCUGGCUGAGGAG